rnacentral:lncRNA from 1 species
UUUUAGAAUUCAAUUUCUUCAUUUUAAAAGCUUUAUAUAUGUAUAUGAAAUUUUAUAACUCAAGUGUAUGAUAUAUAUACACAUAUAUAUGUAAACUCAAAGAAGUCUCCCAUCAUCCUGCGAAUCCUGCUGCAUUUCCACUCACUGUAAUGUGUAAUAAUUUUCAUUAAGCUCUGGUGCACCAUUCUUACAUUUAUUAUUUGUAAAAAUUUAAUAUCUUUGUCACCCACAUUUAUUCACAAUUAUAUCAAACACUUCUUAUAUCUUGUUUUUCCCACUUAACAAUACUUCCUAUCUCAAGUUCUUUCUGUUUUGUAGGUUCCAGAAAGCCCUUCAGUGGAGGACAGGAGAAACAAUAUAAUGAUCAGAUGAAUAAAUAUUCCCAGUCAGAGGUCCUUUGUUAAAGGCUUGUAAAUGAAGCAUGCUUAGCCCAGUUUCAAUAACUAAUUCUGGAAAAGGUGUAGCUGUAAUUCCUACCUGACCUCCUAAAGUGAACUCUCAUCUUUUCAAACUUCAGAAUAGUUACUCUGUGAACUUUACUUUGAAAUUCAACGCCAUGAUUUUAAUUGGAUCACAUAAAUACAUGGAAACAUAAAACAGAACACAUACACAUAAGGGAUAUUCAAAAAAUUUGCAGAAAAAUGAAAUUAAAAGAAAAUGUGAAUUUCCCAUGACUUGUUGAAGCCCCUCAUAGAGUAAAAACUAAGCAUAUCUGUUGCCUUCAUAUAUCUGGAUAAGUGAUUUUGACUAACUAUGAAGAUAGUCGAGCUGGUUUCAGAAAUGAGUCCUUACCAAUCCAUAUUUUACCUCAUUAAGUAGAACGAACCUUUUAACUUGAAACUACGCAGAAAAGGAUCUUCAACACAUACACUGCUUACCCAAGUCAUAAAGGCACAUUUUCUAUCAACCUGAGAAGUGAGCAAGGCUCUUCUAUUUAUUGUUCUACCAAAUUUCUGAAUCUGGCAAAAUAUGAAUUCCCAUCCAUCCCUAUAUUCACAUUCAAUAACUCGAUAAAGAUGCUGGGAAAUUAAAAUAUGCUUCAGAUAACUAGGGUGUGAAACAGAAGACUCCCAUCUCCUGCAAAGCCUCUUUAGCUAAAUACAUUUGGGUAGGUAUUUUGUAUAUCAUGUUGUCCUAUAGCUAGAGAUCUGAAAAUCUUCAAGUUGCAAGUGAACGGUAAGUAGCAUACAUAGUUUGUUGGCAAAAAGAAGAGAGAGUUAGAGAGAGGGAGAGA